rnacentral:rRNA from 1 species
UACGAACUGUGCGAACGUUAUUCGGAAUUACUGGGCGUAAAGCGUGCGCAGGCGGCUUCGCAAGUCAGACGUGAAAUCCCCGGGCUUAACCUGGGAAUGGCGUUUGAAACUACGGAGCUGGAGUGUGGCAGAGGGAGGUAGAAUUCCACGUGUAGCGGUGAAAUGCGUAGAUAUGUGGAGGAAUACCGAUGGCGAAGGCAGCCUCCUGGGCCAACACUGACGCUCAUGCACGAAAGCGUGGGGAGCAAACAGG